GACGAGGAUACGUUAACAUGCUUGACAGGUUCACUCUGCUUACUUUCAGCUUUUGUUUCAUACUUCACAAUGUUUGUAGUUGGAGCGUGAGUGAACCUCUCAACCACACAUUCAAUGAUGACGACUCGGUCAGUGUCACAUGCAUGCUUAAUGGAGAGGAAAAGUUUGAAUUGGAAGCUAAGUUGAAAAUGAAUGAUAAAUAUGUUUGUGAGGUUUAUAACAAAAGCCAAGAACAGGGCACGCAUAAACAUGACUGUACAUGGCAGCAUAAGGACAACAAAUUCACGUUCACCUUAAUGAAACCUGAGGGCUUACACAAAAAUACAUUUUCCUGUGAGAUAUCCAAAAUUAAACCAUUUCCAGUCAAAAUUCAAGAAGGACCAAAAACGAAGCUUUUCCGAGGUAAGUUCACCCAGUGUAAACAACACAGUACAUCAGUUUUAUAUACCCAGAAAUGCAUGCAAGGAAUGUGGAAUAUUUCAGAUUCAGUUCGAAAUUAGCUUUUUUUUAAAAAUCAAUAACCUUUAUACAAUUUUUUUUAAAGGUUACAAUAAGUCUUUGGCUCCACCGAAGAACAGUUGUCCAUUCACUAACCAAACAAAUAACCAGGAUCACAGACCUGUAGAAAGUCACACACCUGAAGAAAUGUAUACCCUAUUAAUCUGUGGUCUGAUAAUAGUGGUGGUAAUGCUGUCUGUCUACAGCAUUAUUCUUACGGCAGUCUGCAUCAGAUUGAGGGUAAAACUUUUUAUUUUAUGUUUGUGUUGUUUUAUACUGUCUAGACAGAGGCUGUGCUAUAUUGUGAGCAUACUGCAGUCACAGUGCGGUUAUUAUGCACAACGGAUUGACUAUAUUCACACUACAUACAUCAUUGCCUCAAGGACCUUACUGCUUUUAUAAAACAAUCACCACUUAAUAAAUAAUAACUUAAUGCUGUUUUGCGCUUUCCAUGCUGUUUCCCCCCGUCUUUUAUGUGCAAGCACUACUUCUUAGCAUUAGCAUCUGCUGUUUAUUGGGGGUUUAAUAAAAUUGUCAGCUUUACUUAGUAUCUUUGAAAACAUUUUGUAAGGAAUAGUUAACCCAAAAAUGAACAAUUUCACCCUCAGGUCAUUCAAGAUGUAAAUGAGUUUGUUUCUUCAUCAGAACAGA
rnacentral:lncRNA from 1 species